rnacentral:rRNA from 1 species
AUACCGUGAAACUGCGAAUGGCUCAUUAAAUCAGUUAUCGUUUAUUUGAUAGUACCUUACUACAUGGAUAACCGUGGUAAUUCUAGAGCUAAUACAUGCUAAAAACCCCAACUUCGGGAGGGGUGUAUUUAUUAGAUAAAAAACCAACGCCCUUCGGGGCUUCUUGGUGAUUCAUAAUAACUUUACGGAUCGCAUGGCCUUGCGCCGGCGACGGUUCAUUCAAAUUUCUGCCCUAUCAACUUUCGAUGGUAAGGUAUUGGCUUACCAUGGUUUCAACGGGUAACGGGGAAUUAGGGUUCGAUUCCGGAGAGGGAGCCUGAGAAACGGCUACCACAUCCAAGGAAGGCAGCAGGCGCGCAAAUUACCCAAUCCCGACACGGGGAGGUAGUGACAAUAAAUACUGAUACAGGGCUCUUUUGGGUCUUGUAAUUGGAAUGAGUACAAUUUAAACCUCUUAACGAGGAACAAUUGGAGGGCAAGUCUGGUGCCAGCAGCCGCGGUAAUUCCAGCUCCAAUAGCGUAUAUUAAAGUUGUUGCAGUUAAAAAGCUCGUAGUUGAAACUUGGGUCUGGCUGGCAGGUCCGCCUCACCGCGUGUACUUGUCCGGCCGGGCCUUCCUUCUGGAGAACCUCAUGCCCUUCACUGGGCGUGUUGGGGACCAGGACUUUUACUUUGAAAAAAUUAGAGUGUUCAAAGCAGGCCUUUGCUCGAAUACGUUAGCAUGGAAUAAUAGAAUAGGACGUGCGGUCCUAUUUUGUUGGUUUCUAGGACCGCCGUAAUGAUUAAUAGGGACAGUCGGGGGCAUCAGUAUUCAAUUGUCAGAGGUGAAAUUCUUGGAUUUAUUGAAGACUAACUACUGCGAAAGCAUUUGCCAAGGAUGUUUUCAUUAAUCAGUGAACGAAAGUUAGGGGAUCGAAGACGAUCAGAUACCGUCGUAGUCUUAACCGUAAACUAUGCCGACUAGGGAUCGGGCGAUGUUCUUUUUCUGACUCGCUCGGCACCUUACGAGAAAUCAAAGUU